rnacentral:tRNA from 1 species
AGUAGGGUGGCUGAUAAGAGGCGGUAAAUUGUAAAUUUAUUAAUGAGAGUAUUCUCCCCUAUUA